rnacentral:rRNA from 1 species
UACGAAGGGGGCUAGCGUUGUUCGGAAUUACUGGGCGUAAAGCGCACGUAGGCGGGUCUGUAAGUAGAGGGUGAAAUCCCAGGGCUCAACCCUGGAACUGCCUUCUAGACUGCAGGCCUCGAGGUCAGGAGAGGCGAGUGGAAUUCCGAGUGUAGAGGUGAAAUGCGUAGAUAUUGGGAGGAACACCAGUGGCGAAGGCGGCUCACUGGACCGGAACUGACGCUGAGGCGCGAAAGCGUGGGGAGCAAACAGG